rnacentral:rRNA from 1 species
GAUGAACGCUGGCGGCGUGCCUAAUACAUGCAAGUCGAACGCUUCACUUCGGUGAAGAGUGGCGAACGGGUGAGUAAUACAUAAGUAACCUGGCAUCUACAGGGGGAUAACUGAUGGAAACGUCAGCUAAGACCGCAUAGGUGUAGAGGUCGCAUGAACUCAAUAUGAAAAGUGCUACGGGACUGGUAGAUGAUGGACUUAUGGCGCAUUAGCUUGUUGGUAGGGUAACGGCCUACCAAGGCGACGAUGCGUAGCCGACCUGAGAGGGUGACCGGCCACACUGGGACUGAGACACGGCCCAGACUCCUACGGGAGGCAGCAGUAGGGAAUUUUCGGCAAUGGGGGAAACCCUGACCGAGCAACGCCGCGUGAAGGAAGAAGUAAUUCGUUAUGUAAACUUCUGUCAUAGAGGAAGAACGGUGGAUAUAGGGAAUGAUAUCCAAGUGACGGUACUCUAGAAGAAAGCCACGGCUAACUACGU